rnacentral:rRNA from 1 species
AAGACCUUGCGCUUUUGGAGCGGCCGAUGCCUGAUUAGCUAGUUGGUGGGGUAAUGGCCUACCAAAGCUUCGAUCAGUAGCUGGUCUGAGAGGACGGCCAGCCACACUGGGACUGAGACACGGCCCAGACUCCUACGGAAGGCAGCAGUGGGGAAUUUUGGACAAUGGGCGCAAGCCUGAUCCAGCCAUGCCGCGUGAGUGAAGAAGGCCUUCGGGUUGUAAAGCUCUUUCAGCCGGGAAGAAAAGGUUGCGAUUAAUAAUCGCAAUUUAUGACGGUACCGGAAGAAGAAGCACCGGCUAACUACGUGCCAGCAGCCGCGGUAAUACGUAGGGUGCGAGCGUUAAUCGGAAUUACUGGGCGUAAAGGGUGCGCAGGCGGUUUUGUAAGUCAGAUGUGAAAUCCCCGGGCUUAACCUGGGAACU